GGUAGACCUGCUCCUAGAGGUCUAUUCUAAGGCAUGAAUUUCUGUAGGACAAACUUGCUAUGGUGAAGGUGGAGAAUACCAGAAAGAAGGGAAGCUGGAAGGAUGACUCAUCUGGGUCAGCCCCAGGGGCCUCAGGAGAUGUCCUGCCUCCUCUGAGGUCUGUUGGAACUGAUCUCACAUGCAGCGAAAGAAGGAUUCAGGGGAGGAAGGGUGGAUCUAGGUGGGUGCGUUCACAUAUAUGAGAGAAGUGGGUAGUGGGAACUUAGGUUAGUUAUUGUCCCAAUAAUACUGAGGCUUAGAAACAAAAGGGAGAGGAAAAAUUAGAAUGAUUUAAUAUUGACAAAAGUAAAAAUUAUGGCAUCCUGGUGGGAGGUAAAAUUUGAUAGACUAUAUUAUAAAGAUGGGGAAAUGUUAUUGUGUGGUGUAGAGCAGGGGUCGGUUAGCAAAGUUCAUCCCAUGGGUCAGAAAUGUUUCUGUAACAUAACUUACUGUUAUACCUGCUCAUUCAUUUAUGUAUUUCCCGUGGCUGCUUUUGUGCUUCUAUGGCAGUGUUGAGUUGCAGCAGAGACCCUGUGGCAUCCAAAACCUAGGAUAUUUACUAUCUGGUCCUUUAGAAGUUUGCUGGUCCUUGAGGUAAGAGGAAAGAAUUCAUUGUUCCAAGUCCUGGAUCUACACUUGCUUAUCUAAUCUGCCUUCCCGAGUCUUCAUUUCUCAUCUGUGAAAUGGGAAUCAAUUACCUCUGCCAACUAACCACCAAACUCAUGGAGGACUUACGAUACUGAAUACCUUAACGGAUAUCUAAAUGUAAAGAGUUAAACAAAGACUACCUAUUAUUAGGGCUCUUUCAUAAGCAUAUGGUAAAAGGGAGAAGACAAUGAAAGUUGUUUUUUCUCAAUAGAGGUCAAGAGGAAAUAAAUAAUAGAUGAUUGCUAAAAAGUACAUUGAUUUGUGUCAGCUAAUGUAUACUUUUGAGACAAGCUAAGCUGAAUUAUUAAAAUUAAAGGGAAAGAAAUAACAGUCAUAGCUGUCUUGAGAGAGAUUGAAGACUGUCAAGUGUGAG
rnacentral:lncRNA from 1 species